CCUACGGGCGGCAGCAGUCGAGAAUCAUUCACAAUGGGGGAAACCCUGAUGGGGCGACGCCGCGUGGGGGAAUGAAGGUCUUCGGAUUGUAAACCCCUGUCAUGUGGGAGCAAAUUAAAAAGAUAGUACCACAAGAGGAAGAGACGGCUAACUCUGUGCCAGCAGCCGCGGUAAUACAGAGGUCUCAAGCGUUGUUCGGAAUCACUGGGCGUAAAGCGUGCGUAGGCUGUUUCGUAAGUCGUGUGUGAAAGGCGCGGGCUCAACCCGCGGACGGCACAUGAUACUGCGAGACUAGAGUAAUGGAGGGGGAACCGGAAUUCUCGGUGUAGCCGUGAAAUGCGUAGAUAUCGAGAGGAACACUCGUGGCGAAGGCGGGUUCCUGGACAUUAACUGACGCUGAGGCACGAAGGCCAGGGGAGCGAAAAGGAUUAGAUACCCCAGUAGUC
rnacentral:rRNA from 1 species